UUUAUGGAGAGUUUGAUCCUGGCUCAGGAUGAACGCUGGCGGCGUGCCUAAUACAUGCAAGUCGAGCGAACGGACGAGAAGCUUGCUUCUCUGAUGUUAGCGGCGGACGGGUGAGUAACACGUGGAUAACCUACCUAUAAGACUGGGAUAACUUCGGGAAACCGGAGCUAAUACCGGAUAAUAUUUUGAACCGCAUGGUUCAAAAGUGAAAGACGGUCUUGCUGUCACUUAUAGAUGGAUCCGCGCUGCAUUAGCUAGUUGGUAAGGUAACGGCUUACCAAGGCAACGAUGCAUAGCCGACCUGAGAGGGUGAUCGGCCACACUGGAACUGAGACACGGUCCAGACUCCUACGGGAGGCAGCAGUAGGGAAUCUUCCGCAAUGGGCGAAAGCCUGACGGAGCAACGCCGCGUGAGUGAUGAAGGUCUUCGGAUCGUAAAACUCUGUUAUUAGGGAAGAACAUAUGUGUAAGUAACUGUGCACAUCUUGACGGUACCUAAUCAGAAAGCCACGGCUAACUACGUGCCAGCAGCCGCGGUAAUACGUAGGUGGCAAGCGUUAUCCGGAAUUAUUGGGCGUAAAGCGCGCGUAGGCGGUUUUUUAAGUCUGAUGUGAAAGCCCACGGCUCAACCGUGGAGGGUCAUUGGAAACUGGAAAACUUGAGUGCAGAAGAGGAAAGUGGAAUUCCAUGUGUAGCGGUGAAAUGCGCAGAGAUAUGGAGGAACACCAGUGGCGAAGGCGACUUUCUGGUCUGUAACUGACGCUGAUGUGCGAAAGCGUGGGGAUCAAACAGGAUUAGAUACCCUGGUAGUCCACGCCGUAAACGA
rnacentral:rRNA from 1 species